rnacentral:rRNA from 1 species
AUCAUUUAAAGAAAGCGUAAUAGCUCACUGGUCGAGUCGGCCUGCGCGGAAGAUGUAACGGGGCUAAACCAUGCACCGAAGCUGCGGCAGCGACACUAUGUGUUGUUGGGUAGGGGAGCGUUCUGUAAGCCGUCGAAGGUGUGCUGUGAGGCAUGCUGGAGGUAUCAGAAGUGCGAAUGCUGACAUAAGUAACGAUAAAGCGGGUGAAAAGCCCGCUCGCCGGAAGACCAAGGGUUCCUGUUCAACGUUAAUCGGAGCAGGGUGAGUCGACCCCUAAGGCGAGGCCGAAAGGCGUAGUCGAUGGGAAACAGGUUAAUAUUCCUGUACUCGGUGUUACUGCGAAGGGGGGACGGAGAAGGCUAUAUCAGCCGGGCGACGGUUGUCCCGGUUUAAGCGUGUAGGCGGAGUGUCCAGGUAAAUCCGGACGCUUAUUAACGCUGAGGCGUGACGACGAGGCACUACGGUGCUGAAGUGAUAAAUGCCCAGCUUCCAGGAAAAGCCUCUAAGCAUCAGGUAACACAGAAU